rnacentral:rRNA from 1 species
CCUACGGGGUGCUGCAGUGGGGAAUAUUGCUCAAUGGGGGAAACCCUGAUCCAGCGACGCCGCGUGAGUGAAGAAGUAUCUCUGUACGUUAAGCUCUAUCAGCAGGGAAGCAAAUGACGGUACCUUACUAAGAAGCCCCGGCUAACUACGUGCCAGUAGCCUCGGUAAUACGUAGGGGGCGAGCGUUAUCCGGAUUUACUGGGGGUAAAGGGAGCGUAGACGGCAGGACAAGUCUGGAGUGAAAUCCCGGGGCUUAACCGCGGAACUGCUUUGGAAACUGUGCGGCUGGAGUGCAGGAGGGGUAAGCGGAAUUCCUAGUGUAGCGGUGAAAUGCGUAGAUAUUAGGAGGAACACCGGUGGCGAAGGCAGCUUACUGGACUGUAACUGACAUUGAGGCUCGAAAGCGUGGGUAGCAAACAGGAUUAGAUACCCCAGUAGUC